UGGGGAAUUUUGCACAAUGGGGGAAACCCUGACGCAGCAACGCCGCGUGAGUGAUGAAGGUCUUCGGGUCGUAAAGCUCUGUCAGAGGGGAAGAAAUGCAGGGGUGCUAAUAUCAUCUUUGCUUGACGGUACCCUCAAAGGAAGCACCGGCUAACUCCGUGCCAGCAGCCGCGGUAAUACGGAGGGUGCGAGCGUUGUUCGGAAUUAUUGGGCGUAAAGCGCGUGUAGGCGGUUUGGUAAGUCUGAUGUGAAAGCCCCGGGCUCAACCUGGGAAGUGCAUUGGAAACUGUCAGACUUGAAUACGGGAGAGGGUAGUGGAAUUCCUAGUGUAGGAGUGAAAUCCGUAGAUAUUAGGAGGAACACCGGUGGCGAAGGCGGCUACCUGGACCGAUAUUGACGCUGAGACGCGAAAGCGUGGGGAG
rnacentral:rRNA from 1 species